rnacentral:rRNA from 1 species
CCUACGGGUGGCAGCAGUGAGGAAUAUUGGUCAAUGGGCGUAAGCCUGAACCAGCCAAGUAGCGUGAGGGAUGAAUGUCCUACGGAUUGUAAACCUCUUUUAUAAGGGAAUAAAGUGUGGCACGUGUCCCGUUUUGUAUGUACCUUAUGAAUAAGGAUCGGCUAACUCCGUGCCAGCAGCCGCGGUAAUACGGAGGAUCCGAGCGUUAUCCGGAUUUAUUGGGUUUAAAGGGUGCGUAGGCGGGCUUUUAAGUCAGUGGUGAAAGUCUGCGGCUCAACCGUAGAAUUGCAGUUGAUACUGGAAGCCUUGAGUACGGUUGAGGUAGGCGGAAUGCGUGGUGUAGCGGUGAAAUGCUUAGAUAUCACGCAGAACCCCGAUUGCGAAGGCAGCCUGCCAAGCCAUGACUGACGCUGAUGCACGAAAGCGUGGGGAUCAAACAGGAUUAGAUACCCGAGUAGUC